rnacentral:rRNA from 2 species
CGAUGCAACGCGAAGAACCUUACCAAGGCUUGACAUACACCGGAAACGGCCAGAGAUGGUUGCCCCCUUGUGGUCGGUGUACAGGUGGUGCAUGGUUGUCGUCAGCUCGUGUCGUGAGAUGUUGGGUUAAGUCCCGCAACGAGCGCAACCCUCGUUCUAUGUUGCCAGCGCGUUAUGGCGGGGACUCAUAGGAGACUGCCGGGGUCAACUCGGAGGAAGGUGGGGAUGACGUCAAAUCAUCAUGCCCCUUAUGUCUUGGGCUUCACGCAUGCUACAAUGGCCGGUACAAAGGGCUGCGAUACCGUAAGGUGGAGCGAAUCCCAAAAAGCCGGUCUCAGUUCGGAUUGAGGUCUGCAACUCGACCUCAUGAAGUCGGAGUCG